UGCUAGAAUUAGAGGCAUGAGCCUCCAUGCCUAUCCUAGACUAUCUUUUAAAAAGUUUUAUUUUUAAAGAAGCAGAACUUUCUAGUUUGUUUUAUCAUGCCUUUAUCAAGAACUUUUUAAGAAUUUAGGGACAAAAACAUCUUAUGCUCUGCCCCAAUAUUUCAUAUGUAGAAACAUAAACAUCAAAUUUUAUAUGUUGACCUUUUUUUAAAUCACUGCCUAAAAAAGAACUAUAUUUUGUGGUCAUGUGAAGUUUCAGUGGUAGAAUUUUCUUUCUGUUGUGGCCAAUCAUGAAUCUUGCUCCAGUGUUUUUGUAUUUACCAGACGGCAGCUGGGGAGUGAGUUAGACAGAAAUAUAAAGACAGAUAUACAGAAAGGGAGAAGAAAAAGAUGAGGAGAAGAGGACUAGGGGAGUAGUAGGGAACUGGGAUGGGAUGGGGAGGAGGUAAGACAGGAGAGAACAAGAAGAGAAGAGAGGAGCGGGAAGAGGGCUGGCAGGAGGAUCGUUGACCUAGGAAGAGAGGAAGGCCUGGUGAAGCUCUAGAAGGAAAGAGUCAGAAUGAGACGUUACAGACCACAAAGGCGGGGCAAGGGCACAGAGGCAGCUGGAGAGCAGACUGGGCGCGUUGGUGUGUUAUAGACACAAGAGAAAGAGCCCAGAGGAGGCAGUAACAAAUGGGAGCAUAUAGGAGCUAGAAGCCACAUUUGGGAAACUAGGGAAAGGGGAAGAGAAGGAGAGAAAAGCAGUGCAAAUCUAACUAGAGAUUUGAUUCCUUAGGCACUAGGAAAGCUCAGCUUGGGGGCUGUCUGCCUCAUCUGAGAGGAAGGAAAGUGGAGAUAUAAACGGAUUAAGAGGAUAGGAGACCAGGGGACAGACUGGUGUCCAAAUUUGAUGCAUACCACAUUUGACAUUUGGCUAAUGAAGGUUGAUGGAAAACAACUUUUACUCGAUUAGGAUAGAAAAGUUUUUUAAAAAGCUGAGUGUAAUUGACAUGAAUUAGUGAUAAAUGACCAAAAAAAAUACACCACUAAUCUAAAAUACUUUAUGACCUAUCAAACAGGAGACACAAGUUUGUCAAAAAGUUUGAGACACUUAGAUGCACUUAGAUGCCUUAGAAGGCAUCUCCAUUCCUGGUCUGGAACAUUCACAAGUGUGGUAUUGGCCCUAAUCAGUUCUACGAACAACUUUUUAAUAAGGCUGGUUGGUAAAGACUAACUUCUGGCUUUGUUUUCCCAAUAGAAUAUGCUAGAACUGUGCAACUUUAGACAUUUUUAAGGAAUAAGUGUAUUAUUACUCAUAGUAGUGAAGGGAAAAUUCACACUGUUCUCAAGGCUAAUAGACGUACUGUUAAUUUUAGCUCAUGUGUUUAAAUGGAUUGUCUAUCAGGGGAAAAAAGUCAAAUAUGAAAUUGUUCUAAUGAUAAUUUGCUGUAAUUCUAAAGCCAAUAUGUGAAAGAGCUGUGUAAUAAUAUAUUUAAAUACUAAAAAAUCUUUUGGACAUUAACCUUAGAUGCUGAUGUCCUCUUAUUGAGUUGUGGUUUUGUUUUGCUAAUACUGGUUGAAAGCCCUUUAAUUUUUCAGUGACAUCAUAAAGAUUUUUUAUCCUACUGAAAUCAUCCAUAGAAUGGUUUUAAACCAGUUUUCUAAAUAUCAUGUAUUUUUUAAAACCUACCACUGGAUACCCAGACUCUGAAACUGGGCUUCUCCCAAUCUUGGCAACAUUAGCAAUGAUACUCACUUU
rnacentral:lncRNA from 1 species